UACAGAGGGUGCGAGCGUUAAUCGGAAUUACUGGGCGUAAAGCGUGCGUAGACGGUUAUUUAAGUCGGGUGUGAAAGCCCCGGGCUCAACCUGGGAAUUGCAUUCGAGACUGAAUAGCUAGGGUACGGUAGAGGGAAGUGGAAUUUCCGGUGUAGCGGUGAAAUGCGUAGAUAUCGGAAGGAACAUCAGUGGCGAAAGCGGCGCGCUGGAUCUCUUCUGACGCUGAGGCGCGAAAGCCAGGGGAGCAAACGGG
rnacentral:rRNA from 1 species